GAUUGAUUUGGACCCGUAGAUCCAACAGUGCAAGGUGAAGCCCAAGUCAGCGAUGGGGUCAUGGAUUCGUACUAGUUUGAUUUUUCACUUCAGCCGGCGUUUCAUCUUGGUUAAGACCUUCGUCCUAAAGUUCUUCUCUCUCCGGCGGAAUUCUUUGCGCUGAAUUCGAGUUUUCUGCUUCGGUAUGGCUAAGGAGGUUUACACCAGGGAAGAGUUGCUUGCGCUGUUGCAGGAUCUUCAAAUUGAUUUUGCCAAGUACGAACAUCCGGCUGUAUUGACAGUUGAAGCUCAGGCAAAAUAUGUUGGAAAUUUGGGGGGUGGUAUCAGUAAGAAUCUGUUUUUGAAGGACAAAAAGAAUAGAUACUAUGUAGUUUCAGCAUUGGCACAGACCAAAGUGGACCUGAAAGUUCUAUCUGCAAGACUUGGUUUGGGGAAAGGAGGUCUGAGAAUGGCUCCCGAGGAAGCAUUGGGAGAGAAACUUAAGGUGUCGUUGGGUUGUGUUACUCCAUUUGCACUUAUCAAUAAAACAGCACGAGAUGUUGCUUUAUUGUUAGACCAAGGAUUUAAAAGCCAGGAAUUCUGCUUCUUCCACCCUUUGUCAAAUGAAACAUCAAUAUCUCUUAAUACCACCAAUCUCGACAAGUUCCUUAAAUCAAUCGGGAGAGACCCUUCAUACAUUGACUUGGAGGCUAAUCCUUCUGUAGGAAAGGAUCAACCCCCCGAUCUUGCUGGACUUGUUCCUUCUGGUUCUGCCUUUGUGCCCGAUACUCCAGAGAAAACAUCUUCAUGUCCUGGUUCUAAUGAAAAUCAAGGUGUUGCGGACAAGAAGUCUAAGGCAGCUGCAGUGAAACCAUCUUCUGCUGUGAAAGCUGGAAAGGACAAAGCCGUUCCAAAAGCACGACCAUCCUAUGCAAAUGUCGAGAAAUUUGUCGAAGAGAUUCUUGAUAAGACAUCGGCAAUAGUGCUUUCAGAGCUCACAGAGGAGACUGUUAAAAAACAUGGAGAACAGUUGGGAGAUGUGGUGUCAAACAGCAUUAAGAAACAUCUUAGCUCGGAGUUGAACAAUCUUUCUAUGAUAUUUAAGAACAAUGCAUACACAGAAGGGUUCCAUGCUGGAUCUUCCCAUAAAGUGAAGCAUGCGUGCUGAUAUUUUUGUCUGCUUGUGUUUCCAAUAGAAACUGAAGAAGAGGACUCCGACCAAAGGCCGGAUAAUGACCACCAGCUCAGUAUUGCUGAUGGGUUGCAUGGUUCAGGUAAUUUAUUUAAUUUUAAUGAUCAGGGUGAAUUAUGAAUUUUGAUUUCAUAUCAGCACUUGACGUCCUUCUUAAAGGAGGCAUACAAAUACGUUUGUGCUCCUGAGAUUAGCGCCAACCUUUAAUCUACCAACAAGGUAUAAACUAAGUACCUUGUAUCAUUUAGGCAGGUUUAGUUUAUCACUAUUCGUGCAUUUACAUGUUUUUCUUCAAUGCUUAAUUCUUGAUUCUUUAUUGCAUAAGAUGGUAUAAAUAGGAUAGAAAUUACAUCCUGCCCACGUAAUGGAACCUGGAUAAUGUUUUAGUUUUGAACAUGGAACAUGCUUUGAGCGACAAAAUCAGGUGUGAGAUAUGGUAUCUUU